ACUAUAACCUGGUGUUGGAAAGAGGUCACAUGGGGUCAGAUAUUCGGGAACGCGAGAAGGCGGAGAAUGGAGUCAGGUCAACAGUCAAUCAAGAAGACAACCACACCUCAAUGCUUGCACAAUGUUCUGUGAUUACAUGACGUUUUGUACUGUAUAAAAGACUGGGUCAGGGGCAGGAUAGGGGUCAGACUUUGUGAACUGACACACUCUGCUGUUUGUCAGGGACGGAAGGUCUAGACCCAGAGCUCUGUAUACUUUAUCCACUUACUGCUAAAA